ensembl:lncRNA
AUGAGUCGUAGCUUCCCCCCACCACACCUACUCUCCCUCCCCACCCACCGACUCCAAAUAUCUUCGCAAAAAGAACCAGCUAUGAAAUACAAAGGGUGGUGUACUGGGGGAUCGUUGUCGCCCUCUAGUGGCGUCUGAGAGUUCUGCAGGGUCUGAGAAGGGGACACACCUGCAAAACAACCACAGCGGUUAUAAAGAGGCAAGACCCGAAAGACCCAAAGAGAGGCAAACAUGUGGGACAGGGUCCUGCCUAGCAGCCUCACUCAUUCGGGAUGGACCAGGAGAGGCAUAGGAUCGUCUCUCAGACAGAGGAGUGGCUUGCAAGAUGAAAAGAUAUCUGUUCUCGGUAGUCCAAACUUUAAGUAACCGGAUCCCGAAAUCCCGAACCGAAUCCAAGACAUGGACACUGUACAGCACACUUCCAAAGACAUGAACACUGCGUACAGAGGCUUCACCAUGCCGACGGGAAGAGAUGGCACGAGGAGGGGUAUGGCUGUUAGAGAACAGUCACAUGACAGGAAGAAGGAAAUGGCCUUUUUCAAAAAACAGUCACAUGACAGAAAAAAAACGAAAAGCACUUGGAAGACGACAACAUGUGACGGAGAAUUAAUUCUGAGGACUAUUGUUAUUUGGUUCUGGUUGUAGAGAGAAGAGAUAUAUAUAUAUAUAUAAAAAUUUAAAGAACGCAUGCAUGGCAUUUUGCACAUGGAACACAACUUUAAAGGGG